GUGUUGGUAGAAAGGAGAGAUGAUUGGCAUUCCCAGACUGGGACGGUAACAUCUUUUGAGCUUUACCUGUUGUCAGGCAAAAGGGUAUGACAUUUGAUGUAU
rnacentral:ncRNA from 1 species